rnacentral:rRNA from 1 species
AUGUUUUACUACCAAGCAAGGGGUGGAGAGGUCAAGGACAAGAAGAGAAGGGGCGGCAGGGUCGCCUUCAGCCAUAAGACCGACUUCUGCUGCAUCCAUCAACCGAAUGAUUCUCUUAAUGAUGGAUUCUAUAUCCUACAUCACAUGCUGGAGUACAGAUGGGAUCACAAGAACCUUCGCAUGUCACCUAGAUCCGGCGAUGCCCAUAUUCUGCAAUGGGCAAAGGACAUAGGAGAUAUCGAGGAUCAUCGACUUUGUUUCUCUAUUCAUACAUUUUAUAUCAAAGAUGACAUGAGGCUUCAUUAUCAUCAAAUUAAAGCACAUGGAUGUUGA